rnacentral:tRNA from 1 species
AGGAAGUUAGUCUAAAACAAAGACAGUUGAUUUCGACUCAACAAACCAUAGCCCCCCCCUAUGACUUCCUU